UCUGUUCCCCAAUCCAGCCACGAAAUUAAGCUCCAAAAACACCCUUAAACCAGUCAAAAAUAGCUCCAAAUUCGCCCCAAAUAAUCACUGAAAAGCGCAGCUGAAACAAAUCCGAAAUCUAACUGCGUCGCACCACAAAACCUCCUCGUUUCCUCCCUUAAAAUCAGCCAUGUGAGAUAGCCAGAUCCAGUGCAAAACGGCCCCUGAAAUCUCCAUUGAAAUAAGCCAAAUAAAGCUCCAAAAGUGCAACUGGAAAGGGCACAAAAACAGUCCCAAACCUAACCCGAAACAGCCCUCUAUUAAGCCCAACGAAACAUUCUUGUAAUCGUUGCAUUUCAGCUAUAAGGAAAGUGCCUCGUUUUCUUUUCACUUCUGGAUUUUGACAAGUUUUUAGGCUGCUAAAGAAGUUGUUAUGAGGUCUAAUUGAAGCAAGUCGAGAUUCUGAGGUCUCCGAUGUGAGAUUCAGUCCAAGAUCCGGUUGUCGACUCAUGUAUCGACUCUUGAACCGUCCGGAGGUCAUGUCACCCGAGAAGUGCGUUUUAGAGUAUCGAUUGUCGUCUUUGAGGUAAGUAUCUGGCCAUACCUUAUGAAGGGGACUUCCCCUUAGGAUUUGAGUCUUACCUGUUACUUGUAUUCCUUGUACGCGAGGUAACGAGUGUGUACUCGGAUUUAUUUGUGGUAAAUUAUCCCUUUUAGGCUACUAGACUCUUGAAAUCACCGAGCAUGAAGAUGAUAUGGAUACGAUUGAGUUUCCUGUUAUUAGUUUCACUUCUAUAUGUGUUACUUGGUAUUUGUUUGACCUUCUUGAUUUAUUCUUGCUGUUUAAUGGACCUUUACGUGCUUAACUGAAGACAAUUACCCUUCUAUAGUCAUAUUACCCGNNNNNNNNNNNNNNNNNNNNNNNNNNNNNNNNNNNNNNNNNNNNNNNNNNNNNNNNNNNNNNNNNNNNNNNNNNNNNNNNNNNNNNNNNNNNNNNNNNNNNNNNNNNNNNNNNNNNNNNNNNNNNNNNNNNNNNNNNNNNNNNNNNACUUAAAUGGAAAGAAGAUAGAUAUCUUAUGAUUAGUUGUUAUUUCCUUAAAUUGUAAUUAUUUGAUUCAUGUUGACUUCUUACUGUUGGUUACUCCUUUAUUGUAAACUCAUCUGUAACUUCGUGCAAUUAUACUACAUGUCCAACUGUUGUGGUAUCGGUGUAGUUAUUAUGCACUUAUUAUGUCUUGUUGUCGUCGAGGUUAUUGUUCUUGGUGUUCUGUGGCCAUAGUAGAUAAUGUUGAUUUCCCUUGCCGGGACGUUAUUGUUUCCGUUGUUGAUUCCGUUGCUAGGACCUUAUUAUUUCCGUUGUUGAUUCCCUUGCCGGGACAUUACUGUUUCUGUUACUGAUUCCCUUGCCGGGACGUUAUUGGUUCUGUUGUUGAUUCCCUUACCGGGACAUUAUCGUCUCAAUUGUUGAUUCCCUGUUGGUACUUUGAUGCACGAGGUCUCUGCCGUGCGGUUGUUGUUGGAGAGUUGCACGAGUUCUUUGCCGUGUUAUUGUGACUAUUGAUGUUUUUGCACAUGUGGCAUAAUAAGGCGGGAUAUGUUAUAUGCUUAUAUGUGGAUUGCACAUGUGGUGGAAUAAGGUGGGAAUAUUGUGAUGCACGCGUGGCGAAAUAAGGCGGUUCUUGCUACAUUGUUAUUGGUUGCACACGUGGCGAAAUAAGGUGGGCUAUGUCAGGGGCUGAUUGUGAUGAAUUGUGAAGGCCCGUGGAGGCAUUUUUCCUAUUUUUGUUUAUUAUUGGUAUGUUGGACUAUGGGUUCAAUUCCCGAGAGAUCCUUCGUUAUUGGUAUAAUGGACUACGGAUUCAAUUCCCGGGAGAUUCUCUGUUAUUGAUAUGAUGGACUACAGGUUCAAUUCCCCGGAGAUCCUCUGUAUUGGUAUGAUGGACUACAAGUUCGAUUCCCGGGAGAUCCCCAUUAAACUCAUUGUGUUCUGAACUGGCAUUUUCAUUGAUUCUAUCCGGGUGUGAAUAAGCCGAGUGCUAGUCGAUCCUUUUUUCUUAUGCUUACCAGUUGGUAGGAUUCCUGUUAGAUACACUUGCACAAGCACACACGUAGUUGGACCCUCCUAUUAGAGAUGAAUCCCUCCUGUUUUGGCUAGGGGUGAGGAUGUGCCCUUGUUUACCCAUUAUAUAUGUGAAAGUAACCCUAGUUGACUAGUUAGAUGUCAGCAUGACCGUGUUAUUGGUGGGGCACUAGAUGCUGGGUUUUCAUGAGCCGUGGCUGGUCUGAGAGUUCGUGGUAGAAUUAUGGAGAGAGUUCGGAAGAACUUAUGCAAGAUCAUUGCAGAAUAAUGAGUUUGUGACUUGUCUUUCCUUGUUGUGUUGCGACUUCAGGAUUUGGAUUGUAAUGUCGAUUGUCCUUUUAUUAUCAUCGUUGUGUAUUUCUCGUUGUUACUUGUUAUCCGUUAGUUUAUUCUGAUUGUAGCUCUUUUAGUCAUUCGUGUUGUCUUUACAUAGUAUAUAUAUCGUUUAUAUUAUCCCUAUGAUUAUACUGUUUAUUGACCGGUAGGUGUCUUGACUGUCCCUCGUCACUACUCCAUCGAGGUUAGUCUUGAUACUUACUGGGCACCGCUGUGGUGUGCUCAUGGAUUAUACUGUUUAUUGACCGGUAGGUGUCUUGACUGUCCCUCAUCACUGCUCCAUCGAGGUUAGUCUUGAUACUUACUGGGCAUGCUGUGGGUGCUCAUGCUACUCUUCUGCACACUUUUGUUGUGCAGAUACAGGUACCCUCAUUCAAGUUUUGUCAGCCUUGGAGGGUGGCGUACAGCCGGAGACUUGAGGUAUUUAUCUACCACGUCCGCAGGACCGAGGAGUCUCCUUCUACUCUACCUUUUAAUUGGCAGUUCCAUUUCAUGUAUUAGGUUGCCGUAGACAUUCCGGGUAUUAGAGCCGUAAGUUAUGCCUUAUUCUUAGCCUGUGUUGCUCGUGCGUUUCCGGGUCUUGGAGGUUGUUACAGUUAUUCGAGUUGAAGUGUAUGUGCCAGGCGGCACUCUACAUAUUUUAUAAUGAUAUUCAGUAUUUGUUUAUUGUUUUCGUAAAGGUUGUUAAAUUUUCGCAACGUGUUAGGCUUACCUAGUCGCGAAGACUGGGCGCCGUCGUGACAGGUUCACGAUUGGUGAACUAGGGUCGUGACACUGUCAAUGUAUGGUUCUCACUAUGUUAAUUUAAGGUAGCACGUUGUGCUAUUGCUGGCAAAGAGUCAGAACUCAAACCAAUUACAAAUUCAUCAUAUGCCUUGGUGCUUCAUUCUACCGCUACCUGGAGUACGUUAUGCACUCAGCCAAAACA
rnacentral:lncRNA from 1 species